GGGAACUGUAGUCCUUGUAGGUUGCAGCUCGGGCUAUUGCCAGGGUCCUCUUCAUUGUUCCAGCUGGUCUUAGGGGCACGCCUGCGCACUGUGCAGCCAGGGAAGAGUGUGGGUGAGACCCUCUGCACAACCCUUUUUCAUUGUCUGGGCUUAGCGCCUGCGCAGUAAGAAAUCGUUGGGACAGGGCUUGAGAGGAUAGGGCCUGGCUCCUCGCCCUUUCCCGAGGCGCCUGCGCAUUAAGCGCCCGCUCUUGCCGUUACCGCUAUGUGUGGGGCGUGUGUAGAAUAACGUUAUUGCCCUGCGGAGCUGAGGGGCCUGGAGCUCGGCCGCGGCAGCAGCGACGACGACGACUACAGCGGCGACGACGACGACGGGGUGGGGGGAGGACGGCGUGCUAGCGACUCACGGGACGCAACGCGCCCCGCCUCCCCCGUCCGGUCCCUCUCUCAACGGUGAGGGGUAAGUGAUGCGUCGGGCUACUGGGUGUCGGCACCGCCAAAGCCACUACAGCGGCUUUUCCUCCUCCUCCUCGGAUACUUGACAGGGACUCUGGGCGCGGCCCGCGGCUGAGCCUGAUGCGGGGCCGCCUGCCAAGGGGGUGCUUCCCGGAUGCUCGGUGCAGCACCACCGCCCCUGACCCGGGGCUCCCAUCCCCCAUCCAGUCGCUGCCCCCGGCCUCCAGUUCUGAGGCCCCUGGCCUUCUCUGGCCCAUCGCCACCGUGUCCACUUCCCCUGAGUGUAUUGAAUCAUUUUCAGGUCCCUCCCUUCUUUGUGCAGCCCUCCCCUCCGCCGUAGCAGUUUGCGAAGGAUGGGGGGUGGGGGGGGAAGCUUUGUAGGCAAUGGCUGCGUUGCUGCUGGAGAAGGGAUUUUUUCCUGUGUGCCCAUCCCUUUUGUAUGUUUGGUUUCGGGGUGUGAGGUGGCUAGGGGAGGUCACACGCGGAGCCUUUUGGACGUGUCGGGAGGGCGUGGAAGACGUGGUGUCACGCACCCAGCCAGGCGACUUGCACCCCGCGUAGGCUGAGGCUCUGUAGUAAACCCGGGGAAGGAGAGGGUAGCUUCCUGUGGGCUUCAUUGUCCUCAGAUUCAAAUGUAGGAUUUUGGUGUGGUUCCCUUACAUUUUCUACAAGGGAGCAGGGAAUAUUAGCAGCUGCCAAACACAGGGCGGGAAGAUGUGGGAUUUAUAUAUCACAUACAGAUUUGUCUUAUAAUCUAUUUUCCUGGUGUUCAUUAGGGUUUUACUUAUUUUCCCCAUCUAAGAAUAUAAAGAUAGAGACUAUACCCGCUGGAGUUCAAGUCUGUCAAGGCGAUCGAUAUAAGAUUACUAGGUAACUAUGAAGACUAGGCUAGGAAUGGCCUGACAAGGAAGCUGUUGUGUAGCCGAGAAGUGAACCAGCAGAAUUUUUUUUUUUUUCCCCAUUGGGUGGGUAUUCUUGUUCCUAAAGGACUAGAUUAGGAUAAUCUUUCCGUUUUAUUAUUUUUUUAACAAUCAAAAUAAAACUUUUGGUAUAUUGUUUCUGAAAUUGUUUAUCGUUUAUUCUAUUAAAUGAAAAUUCACCUAUUUGGAAGGAAUUUGUUGAAGCAGAUGAUACAUUUGGUUGAAAAUGCAUAUUUUGGGGCUGGGAGCUGUAUAGCUUGGUGGUAGAGCUCUUGCCUAGCACUUGUGAGGCACUGGAAUCCUCAGCAUCACAUAAAAAAUAAAUAAAAUAAAGGCAUACUUUUCAUCUGUAACUACAAAAAGAAAAAGAAAAAGAAAAUGCAUUUUUAAAAAUGAUUUGAAUCUUAAGCUUACACCAGAAGACAGGAUGAAGCAGAACAGAGAGGAGCAUAUGAAGUAAUAGUUACCUUAUGAAUUACAGUAUUUAGAUUUUCACUGAAAUUACCCUACUUUAUGCUUUGAAUACUUAGAAUUCUGGAAAUAGUGCAUUGAUGAAUAGCAAGUUACAAAUCUUUUUUUUUUUUUUUUUUUUGCCAUUAUUUUAAAGAAAACCAGAACUGCUUUCAGUUUUUUCUCACUUUGUAGAUACUGUAGAAUUUUGGUGGUAUAAAAUAGAAGAGUCUGAGUACACUUGACAGAGACAGGGGAAGACACAAAUUCAACUGGAAGACAGAGCCAAAUAAAACCAAGAUCUAUUCUGCAGUGUGGUUUCUCCUGUGCCACCCUAGGCCUCCCACCCUGUACAAACUUAUGAAAAGCUUCUCUGCAUGCUCUUUGAGCUAUCUGUGUCAGUGACUUUGAUUUUCAUAGUUGGGUUAAUUUAGUCAUCUUUGUGAUGUAAAAAUAGUAAUUUUACUGAAAUGGAACUUUAGUUUCAGAAAGUAACAUCCUGUAUAAAGAAAGAUGUCCUAACGUGCUUUUCAUAAAAAGAAAGUUUUGGAAGGGUUUUCCAGUUCUUUACUAUAAAAUAUUUUAAUAUUAUUUCUUGAAAGUCAGUGAGAUUUUCUAAUAGCAUGAUCAAGUCUAUAAACUGUGCAAAAAUAAAAUUUCACUUAACAAAAAUAUAUGAAGUUUAUUUUUCUUUGAUUAGUGAAUUCUAAUGAUUUUCAACUUAAACUAGAACUUACCUUUUAAGAAACAUUAACUUUGUUUCUUAUUGGGUUAAUUUUUAUUACACAUUGCUUUUUGGUUGCUUUAGAAUUUUAAUUCUUUAAUUCUACACUGUAUUUAGUAGGCCUUUUUUUUUUGAAAUUUAUUUCCCAUAAUUUAAUCAAACUUUAAGAAAAUAAUCCAUAAUUAAACUCAGUGUGUGAAAUUAUAUUCACUCAAACUUUAAAUGUAUUUUAUUGGUAACUUUCAUGGUGUUCUAAAAUGAUUUUACAUGGGAAUAACUAAUCUGCAUGUUUCCUGUCUUAGCAUUAGAAUAAUGAAAUUUACAUUGUAUACAUAGGCAUUAUUCUGCAUCAAUUAAUGCAGAUAUCAAGGUGCUUUCUGAAAUUCUAUGCUUAGUGAUUUGCUUGUUCCUUGUCUGUUUCUUAUUCCUUUUUAUCUACCAGAAAAAAAGUUUUAUUUUGCAUCUGAUAGCAAUCAGAUGAGUUCCCAUAUAGUACUAAGUGUUAUAUUUGUUUAAGCUUCUUGUCUAUAUGUUUUUUUUUUUAAUUCAGAAAAUUCUUUUCCAGGAAAAUAAUUUUUUCCCUUUAUAAUUAAUGUGUAAUUCUUUUUCUUUUUCUUUAUUUAUUUUUUGUUGGUACUUCAGUUCUUUUUGCUUUUUGAGAAAGGGUCUUGCUAAAUUCCCAAGAUUGGCCUGGAACUUGCAAUUUCCCUUCUUUAGACUUCUGAGUAUAUGGGAUUACAGGCUUGUGCUAUCACACCCAACUCUUCCUUUUAAACACUGGGUUGUUAAACAUUGCUAAUAAGUAUCUAACAGGAUGAUACUUAAUUGCAGACUCAAGUGUCUGUGUAGUUGCAAAUUAUUCUAGAAAUAUAACAAAAGGUCAGUUACAUACUAUCUGAAAAUGUUUCAUGAGUAGAUAAUAUGUAUCAACCUGAGAAUUAUAAGAAAUAGGUUUACUUUUAAUGGGGAGAAAUCUCAGAUCAUCUUUUUUAUUAAUCUUCUUAUUAAUAAUGAAGAUUUUUAAAUAACUACCCAUGCUGAAAGGGGCUUUGAUUUAUUAACUCAAUUAUUUCAUGAGGAAUGAGUUUUAAUCAUGAGUUAGCCAUUUUGAUAUGUAAAGAGAAUAAGAAAACAUCUGUGGUUGAUUAAGCUGGGUAUAUUGUCCAGUUUAGUUGAAAUGAUUGUGCAACAGUAUAAAUUUUUUUUUACUCAGAGUGAAUAACAUAGCUGUAUUUAUAAAGCCUACUUUUAUAUAAGCAAAGGUAGAAAAGAAACCAACAAAAGGUUAAAGAAAAUCUCAUAAAAAUUACAUGCAAAUAGAGAUUGCAUACAGUGGAAAAGAAUCCAAAGCAUGCAUUGCUUAGAUUUGAAUAGCGUAUGAUACAUAGCAAAGAACAGAUUAUUAUUUAAGUGUAUUGAUAAUUAACAAAUUACAUAGAAAAUAUUGUACUUUGGGACAUAAAGUUUAUUCAGUGAACUAUGCCUAUCGUGUAUGGAACACCUGCUAAAUAUCAGGCUGUUUGUGUGUGUGUGUGUGUGUGUGUGUGUGUGUGUGAGAGAGAGAGAGAGAGAGAGAGAGAGAGAGAGAGAGAGAGAGAGAGAUUGCAUUUAAUUUAUGCAGCAGUCUUAAUAAACAUAUUAUAAAAAUACAUUUAAUUCCACAUUUAAAGUGGAAGAAAUUUGAGGCUGUUUUUAAUGUCACAUAUAAAGGUUAGAGCCCAUAAAUGAACCUUUGGCUUUUUGACUAAAGCCAAAAUUGUUUCUGCUCAUCUUUUUGAAUUGGAGCUUAACCAGUCAUCCAUACAAUAUGCCACCCACUACUAAUAUUCCUUAGAUACUAAUGAACCUAACUCUCCAUGAAUACUUCCCUGAAUAUAGAAGAAAGACCAUUUACCCUUCAGAAAGUAUAAUGGAAAGAUUUUACAAAAAUUGAGCCAAUAUCUUCUUUGUUAUCUAACUUCUUGUUGCACUCUAUCUUUUGGAGUAAAACACUGUAAAGUUUUUCUCAAAUUUAUUAGCUCUCUGCUGGAUUUUCUUUUAUUCUAAAUUAAAUGUUUCACUACUAGUUCAUAUGAUAUGGCUUCAUUUGCCUUUUUCAUCUCUGUCAACUGAAUUCUGUUAGUUUUAUCAGUGCUAUUCUUUUUUUCUGCUCUAGUUUUCAUAUUUAAUUCUGUAAUUAUGGUCUGAAUUUGGAGUGUAGUAAAACUAUUCUUUUCCUUAUUUCAAGCUAUACACUUGUGUUUACAGUUUUUGUCAACUCUUUAACAAAACUAUUUGUGUUUACCUCCCAGUUCUAAGCAAAACACACUGAGAGAAAUAUGUUAUGGCUUUUAAAGUUAUAUUUAUGUAACUCAAUGGGUUAUUUUUGGAGAUGCUGUUCUUCUGCUUUUCUAAAAUGAAAUGAUAAAUAAAAUAGGCUUUCUAAAAUGAAAUAUUUUUAGUAGGUACAAUAGAUGGCUUUUGCUAUUUGUUGUAGAUUUUUGUUUUGUUUGAAUCUUCUUAAUUAACCAAUAAAAUAUUAGCAGCUGUAUGUUGGUUCUCUUUGUUUAUUUAUUUUUUAGAAAAAAUUUGGAAAUCACUGAUGCAGUCAACAUAAACCAACAUCUUUACAUUUAGCUAGAUCUCUGUAUUUUUGUAUAUACACAUAGAUGAUGUUUUUGAAGCACUGUUUUACUUUACUGCAUAUUAAAUUUCAUCUGCUCAAGUGUAUCCAUAGUUAAAACUUGUUGAGAUCUUCUUGAAUCAUGUCACCAAAGGGAUUAGUUUCCCUUCCUGGCUUUUUGACAUUUAUAAACCUAACAAGCCAGACCUCUAAUAUCUUCAUCCUGGUUAUGUACUGGAUAUAGCCAAGGACAAAGCCAUGCAGACUUAUAAAUAGAAUAAAUGUUACAUAAACAAAAUAUGCUUAUGGGAAAAGGGUGACAAAGGCAAAGAAAUCUACCUGGAGUGUGUGUGUGUGUGUGUGUGUGUGUGUAAAUGGUUAUAUCCACCCAGUAGUAUAGGAUUGGGUGAAUCUAGGAGUUUGGGUGAUAGGGAUAAUUUUAUAAUAAAAUGAUAUAAAGUUAAGAUAGUGCUAUGAAAAUAAUCUGUAAAGAGAGUGAAUCAUGAAAGACUGGUACUUUAAAAAAAUUUUUCAAGGCAUCAGUACAUUCACAUCAUUCAAAAAUCAAAUAACAUUGUUACUGGAGUCCUAAGCCAGAGGCCUAAAUCUCAGGGUACCAACAGAUCAGAUUUGACCACCUGCUACUUCAUGAGUUCAAUCAGAGAGCCAAAUGGUGGUGAAGUCAGAAUGGAAUUUAUUUUUCAGUAUGGCUCUGCUGGGAAGAAUGGGGGUGAGGUGCCUACCAGCAUCCUAAGCCCUAUCUUGGGGUACUGACAAGAGCUUUGGGUUUAUACUGGGGAAGGUCAAAAGCCCAGGGGCAAGAAGUAUGCCUAGGCAAGCAGUCUUGGUCCAAGUGUGGUCUGGUUGAUCAUUGUCUCAUCUGCAUCUGGGAGGUUCUGGCUUUGCCCAGGAAAUCAUUAUUGUCUGAGGGGGCAGUUAUUUUCCUGUCUUGAAAUGAUCUCUAUUCUACUAGCUGUAGUGAAAUGAUUGCUCUUGCUUGAGGGUGAGGCAGGGGCAGCCUCACUUGCUAUCACAGGGUGUAUUGAAUUUAAGAGGAUGGGUUGGGUGGAUAGGGAGAGAGAGAACAAGUUAGAAGGACAAAAAUGGAAUUAGGAUAACAACUUGGCCUCUUCCAGUAUUUUAAAAAGAAAGUAUGAAAAUUCUUUUUACCCAUGUUCUUCAUGUGCUGACUUACCACUUUCCCUCAUCUAGUAAAUAAGUUCUUCCUUAUCCUUCAACUCAAGCAAAUAUAAAUAUGUUCUUAGCCUUUCUUCCCUUUCUGACACAAAAGAUAGCUUUUUUACACACUGCUCUACAUCGUGAGGGCUGCUGUUGUUGAGUAGAUGGGAAUAUUCUCUCCACCCCCACAACCCACCCCUCUGAGAAGGUAAUAUUUCGUAGAUUUGCAUUAUUAAAGAAGCAAGCCAUGUAGGUAUUUGGGAAGAGGACAUUCUACUCCAUGGUGCAGUGGUGCUGGGAUGAGUAAAUUCAAAGAACAAAGAGGCAACUGAGACUGGAGUUGAGUGAGCAAAGGGAAAAGUAGGAGGAACUGAGAUUGGGUAGAGAUUUUAUUGGUUGGUUUUAUUUAGGUUUUAAGGGAGUGCAUUGGAAGGUUUUGAACAGGAAAAUGACAAAAAAAUUAUAUUUUAGUUUAAAGCAUGUCUUUGGUUAUUUUUUAAAUAAUAGGCUAGAGGAGAGCAAGUAUGGGAAUAGCAAGAUGAGCUAAGAAAUAUAAUUGAGAGAAUCUAGACUAAGAUGUCAUUGUUUAAAGUUACAAGUGUUGGUGUUAGUGACUAAGUAAAUCAGCUUCUGGUUUAAAAAGUCAAGUAUUUUGGACAUGUAAAUUUAGGAAUAAUAGGUAGGCAAGGGGAUAUAUAGGUCAGGAAUUCAGAAGAGAGGUUUGGAUUACAAAUACCUAAAUAUUUAAAUUUUAACUGUCACCAGUAGACUGCAAGAGAUUACUUGAGGAGUUAAAUAGAUUCGAGAAGAGGCCCAAAAUUGAGUCCUGAUACUCUGGACAUUAAAAACUUAGCAAAAGAGAAGGAGCCAUCAGGAAAGAUUAAAAGAUGUGGCUAGGGAGAUAUGAGUAAACUCGUGAAGUGUGUUGCCCAGAAGCCAAGGAAAGAGAGUAUUUUUAGAGAUAAGGAGUGAUCUAUUACCUAUAUCACCAUUGGUAACCUGAAUACUUCUUAAGAAAUCAAAUAAUGUCCUCAUGACAACAGUAUCUGAGAAAGUAGUUUCAGUAGACCAACCUUCUUUCUGGUUUGUCAACAGGAAUGCAGAAAUAUUCAUAAUUAUUCUCCCUUGGAAACUACCAAAUCUGAAGCCCUAAACAAAGUUUUAUUCAUAAGUAGGUCAUUGUUUCCUAGGUAGAUGGGUGUGGCUGCUGCUGCAAUUGAGGUUCUAACAGGAGAUGCAGUGAUGUUCAGCAAGAACUUUUCAGGAGUUGCCUCAGUGUCACUAUUUGUGUGACUGUUUGUUGCUCACUAUCAGAAACUCAGUUUCUUCAUCUCUAAAAUAAAGCUAGUUAUAGACCAACUCAAACCUUAGAGGUUUAUUGUGAUAACCAAAUAAAUCAGAUGUAAAAAGCAAGGUAGGGAUCUCCUUUCCGAAUUGUCUCAAAUGUGGUAAGAAAGGAAAUAUAUUACCUGGUGUAAGAGGUGACAAAAAUACUUUUCAUUUUUAACUCUGUAAAAAUAGCUUCAUUUUUUUUUUUUUUUUUUUAAAAACUUUGUGAAUUCUAUCCUCUUAGGACCCAAUGAGGACUUUCCUCUUUGAACACUUCCCUCCCACCCCCCAGGCAGUCUACAGAAUAAGGCUAGUCACAUGUUACAUGGAAUAGAAAAAAAGUACAAAUUCAAAGCUGAGACAUUAGUUAGGAGUCUUGAACUCCAGGCAGUCAGCUUAAACAAAACAAAUCAAAAACUGAUUUGAGGAAACCAGAGGAUAGGGGAAGUAGAGCCUACUUGAUGAUGUGUGGAUGUUGUGUAUUUAUUUUGGUGAAAAAGAUACAUUGCAAAUAGAGGACAUCUGUGGUAAGCUUUUUUUCAGGCAGUAGGACUAUAACUUAAAAAUACAAGGGUUGGAGGUGUAAAUUAGUGGUAGAUCACAUGCUUAGCAUGCAUGAGGCCCUGGUUCAAUCAAUCCCUACCACUGGAAAAAUAAGAACUAAAAACAAACAAACAAACAAACAAAAAAACCAUAGUCUACUCAAUAUUCAUGGGGAAUUGGUUCUAGGACUUCCAAGGAUACCAAAUCUCUGAAAUAAAAUUGUAUAUUUGCAUAUAUCCUUUCCAAAUCUUGUAUACUUUGUCAUCUCUAGACUACUGAUAAUGCCUAAUACAAUGCAAAAACCUUCUAAAUAGGUGUUGUAUUCUAUUGUGCAAGGAAUGAUGUCAGGAAGUCUGCACAUGUUCAGUAUAGGCACAAUUUUACCUCCCAAAUAUUUUUGGUACGAGUUGCCUGGAUUCCAAAAUGGGGGACCUUAUGCAACUGUGUAUAUCUUGAGGAUGCUAUAGAAUAUCAUUAUUUGCCAUGAUGGCUCAAGAAAUACUUCAUUGGACAAUAAUUUUAAAUUGAAGGCCAUUUUAUUUUUCUAAUGCUGUUUUACUCAUUACAAAGCUAUCCUUGUACAUUGCAAAAAAUUAUAGAAAAUAUCAUUAGGUCAGGCUGGGGCUGUAGCUCCGUGGCAGAGCACUUGCCUAGCAUGUGUGAGGCACUGGGUUUGAUCUUUAGCAUUGCAUAAAAAUAGAUGAAGGCAUAAUAUCUACAACUACAAAAUUAAAAAAAAAAAAACACCAUUAAGUCAAGAAGAAUACAUUUAUAAUUUCACUAGCUAAUAAUACCAUUGUUAUGUAUUCUUAGUUAUGGUUUAAUCUGAUAACAUUUUAUCACAGGAUUAGAUUUUUCUGACGAUCAUUUUUAAUGGCAGCAUAGGAAUUUAUAUUUACCAAACUUGUAAUUUACUUAGAAUUUAUGGAAAUUAAGAGUGUUUUAAAAAUUAUAAACAACAUUGCAGUGGAUAUUUCUAAUUGAAUUUGUGUUCAAAUCAAUGGUUUCUGCCACCGACCUAACAGUUUCCUUUUUUUUUUUUUUUUCCUAUUGCAGUACAGGGCCUGGGCAUGCUUGGCAAGCACUCUGUCACUGAGCUACACCCCCAUUUCCUUUGAUUUCAAGAAAUUAAUUAUAUCACAGAUAGAAAUGGAGAAGCCCAUUUACUAAUUUUUAAAUGAAAUUGACGAAAUUCUCCUGCAAAUCUAUACCAGUAUAUGCUUAUACCAUUGAUUUCUUUAAUCCUUUACCAAUUGCUGGAUUUUAAAGAACUUUUAAAUUCUGCCAACUCGAUGAAUGAAAAAUUUUGUUUAAAUUUCUCUUAUCACUAAUACUUAGGAAUAUCUUUAAAAUGUUUAUUGGCCAUUAUAUUUCUAGUUUGAGCUGCUCAUGUGUCUAAUUUGAAUUCCUCAUUUUUUUUUCCUAUAGGAGUGCUAAUUAUUUUUACUUGUAGCAACAACUUUGUCAUAGGUGUUGUAAAAUUGUUUUUUUUUUACAGAUUGUUAUUUGCCUUUUAAAUUUUUUACCUGAUAAAAAUUUGUCAUGUGUGUACCCAAAUUUCUCAUUUCCCUAUAAAGUCAUCACAUUGUACAUAAUUUUAUUAAAUAUGUCUAUAUUUUUCUUAUUUGUGAUUUGAAAUUGUAUAUACAAAUGUGUUAAUUCAUCUAAAAUAUAUUUAGGCAUAUGUAGCAUGAGGUCUCACAUCAGUUAUUGCUCCAUUAUCUCUUCCUAUUUGAAGUGUUUUACUAAUAUUUGUUAGUGUUUUUUGGUAUAUUUAAGGGUAUAUUCAAGUUUCUACCUCUUUGGUCAUAUAUAUAUAUAUAUAUAUAUAUAUAUAUAUAUAUAUAUAUAUAUAUAUAAAAUUACUUUAUCAAUUAAAAAUAUCAUGUAUGUGCUUAUUUCAUUUUAAGUUAAAUAUGAAUGUGGAAAGAACAAUAGAACCUGCCAAGAGUUGAUAAUAAUUUUUUUCCAGUGAGCUUUUUUGAUUUAUCAUUUUUGAGUUUACAUUUUUAAUUCAUUAAUUUGUUUAAAAAAUCUCUUAAUACACUAUUUGAUGACUAGUGUACUAGUAUAUUUAUUUUUUUUCAGUUUAGUUGAAAAUGUCUAUAGGCUAUAAUUUUUUUUUCUCAGUAUAGCUAUAAAAAGCAUAAGCACAUCACUUAGAUUUUAGUAUUUUUAUAAUUCUAAAUUAUUUGUUGUUUCAUUCUCUCUUUUCAGUGGAGUUAGUUUGAGAAAUAAGAUUUUGAGGUUUUUUUUUUUUUUUCUCAAUACAUGCAGCUGUGAUUGUUACAUGUUCUAGAUUUUUAAGAAUGAAAUUCUCAAACAUGAAAGUUGAGAAACUUUCAUAGUGACUACUCAUAUACCCACUGUCUUGAUUCUACUGUAAACAUUUAUCGCAUAUUUAGCCAUUUAUCCAUAUCCUUAUAGUUAUCAGUCCAUCUUUUGUUUUGUCAUAUUUGAAGUAAAUUGUAGAUGCCAGUAUUUGUAGAUUAAGAAAACUACUCUUGGGGCCCGGAGUUGUGGCUCAGUGGUAGAGCGCUUGCCUAGCAUGCAUGAGACACUGAGUUCAAUCCCCAGAACCACAUAAAAAUAUGCAAAUAAAAUGAAGGUAUUGUGUCUAUCUACAACUAAAAAAAAAAAAAAAAACUUACUCAAGGUUGUGUUUCAGUGCAAGUGUUUUUUGAAUGUUUACAAUAGUGCUGUUGAAAUAUUUUCCAGGCAAACCCUGUUAUAUGAAACAAAUGACAGUUUAAAAAAAUCAAAUUCUCUUGUUUUCUAUUUCAGUAGUAGUGGUGUUCAGUGUUUUUAUAAAUAGCUUGCUGACAAAAUUGACGCUGAUGAUACUGAGUUAUUCCUUCUUUUGGGGCAAAUGCGUAUAUAUGUGACUCUUUGUGUCUGUGUCUAUUUUUAAAGAAAAAAUGGAAAAUUGAGGUUUUUUUUUUUUAAGCUGAAGAGCUAUUUGAGGAAACAUACUGUUUCUCUAAUUAAAGAGGUUCUGUUAUUUCCCUUAGUAGCAAAUCCAGGAGUGAAUUAUUUAUUCUAAAUUUUACAUUUCACUACCUUCUGCUUUCACUAUUUCCUUAUCCUUUAUCUUUGAAUUUUGUGUUGGGCUUGAUUCAGUGAAAAUAACAACUCUUGGUUGAGGUGAAGAGAACAUGAUUUUGCCCUGUGAUUUUAAGAGGUGCAUAACAAUUCCAGAAUGAUAAGGAUCUACCUUUAUAAAUUAAGGAUUAAAGAUUUAUAAAUUGGAGAGGUAGGAACAAAUAGAGGCAAUUAAACAAAUUAAAUUAGAACUUUUAAGGGGUAUGGCCUGGGGUCAAAGGGGUUGGAGGGACUUUUUGGUGGCUAGCAGAUCUAGUAGUGAUUGUGAAUAAUAUUCAGAAUGUAAUUCUCAAGAAGUCUGACUUCUUUUUGUAAAAAAAUAUAUAUUUUAGGUGUAGUUGGACACAAUAUCUUUAUUUUAUUUGUUUGUUUUUAUGUUGUACUGAGGAUCGAACCCAGGGCCUCCCACAUGCUAGGCGAACACUUUACUGCUGAGCCACAAGCCCAGCCUCCUAACAUCUUUUUGAUAAUGGAUAUUAGGUUAAUUCCAAGUUAACAUCUUCUACCCCUCAAAUAUAUAAUGUGAAAUGUAGGAAUACUUCAUCAAAGAAUGCUAUCUUGGCAACCAUUUCUUUCUUCUACCUCUCAGGUAUCAGGUUUUAUAACUAGAACUUUUUUGCACAUAUUUUAAAUUGUAUCACUAUAGUUGUACAUAAUGGUAGGUUUUGUUGUUACAUAUUUGUACAUACACACAACAUAACACUAGAAUUUGGCCAAUAGCGUUCCCAAGUAUUUCUCUCCCCCCUGCCCCUCCUGCUUCUCUCUGGUUCCUUUUGUAACUAGAAUUUCUAAUAUCUGACAUGUCCUUUCCUUUCUGUCUUGUUGAGCCCAAUUUGUAGUCCAGUCAAGUCUCUACAUUCUAAAUCACCACAUUGUGUUUUUCUUGUAGUCUGGAAUCUGUUCUAGUUUGAAUCUUUAGUUUUCACAGUUGUAGCUUACUACCCUUGUCCCUAAUACUGUCAUGUUGUUAACCUAUUCAAUCCAAGCUGAAGGCAUCCAGUUGAGGGGUUAGAAAAUACAUAUACAUUUUCAUGAUAAAGUUAAAAUAAUCUUUUUGUACCUCAUAGAAGUGAAAUCUUAUAAUACUUGUCUUUUGGGACUGGCUUAUUUUACUUAGCAUAUUGUUCUUGAGAUUGAUCCAUGUUAUAGCAUGGGUCAGAAUUUCAUUUCUUUUAAGGAAUGAAUAAUGUAUGAUUUUAUGUUCAUACCAUAUUGUGCUUAUCUAUUCAUCUUUCCAUGGAUGCUUAGGAUGCUUCUUUGUGUUAGUUGUUAACACCAAUAAUCUUUUAUCUAUUUUAGCUGCUUUUUUUAAAAUUUCAAAAUUGCAGAUGCUAUUCUUCAAAUGAAAUAAUAUGUCAAAAUUCUUUAGGCUAGCUAUGCCUGGAGAUUUCCUCCCUUAACAAAAUUCUCGUAUUUAAUUUUCUCAGAUAUUAUCACAUUAAAACAUCUCUAGUGAACCAUUUAGAUACCUCAUGGUAUCCUGAUAAUGAUGAGCCUAAUCACUUUAAGCAUGAAUGACCUAAAGAAUUUUAUGAAAGAAUGGACUUAAAGAUUCAGUGACAGUUGAAAUGUUUAUUGAACACUUUUAACCAAAAGACUUUAAUAAUUGAUGUAAAAAUUAUAAUGAUACUCCUUUGUAAAUGAAAGUAACAACACUCUUUGUGCUUAUUUGAUUAGAUUGCAUUUUUUCUUUCCAACAUCAAAUAUUUUAUCAGCUAUUUUCCAGGCUUAUAUAUGUCUUCCUUAGUAUAGAUACUCAUGUGAUUUAUUUGUAGAGCUGCUGUAGCUAGAGUAGCUACUAGGCAUGUGUGAAUAUUUGAAUGAAAAUUAAUUAAAUAAAAUAAAAAUUAAUUUCAGUUUGCAUUAGUUAUAUUUCAAGUGCUCAAUAUGGCUAGUGAAUUAGAUAUUUUAGAUGUUGAACAUGUCCAUUAUCACAGUUUUGUUACACAGUGCUGCUUAUAUUUAUAAGCAUGAUAAUUUAAUGUAAGGGUAAAAAGAAAAAUUGCAUUAUUUAGGCUAGUGAUUAGUAUGGUAUUAUUAUAAAAUGCAUUGUGACAUUCAUUAAAAACAUUCUUGCUUAAAACAUAUUCUUGAGACUUUUUAGUUUUUCUACACUUUGAAAUUGCAUUUCAACUUUCUUGUGUUUUAUCAAUACUCUGAUGAAAAUUAUUUAUACUGACCUCCCAAACAGUUGAUGUUUAGUAGAUGAGAAAAUGUAUCGAAGAUAAACAGAAACCAUUUUUAAAGGGCAGGUGAGAUCAGGUAUCUAAAAUCAAUGAAGACAUCUGGCAGAAAUAGAAAUUGUUGUCAUAGAGAGCUAAGAAGGAUAAAUCAAAACAUCUGACUUUCAGAAAAAGGUCUUACAGACCCUUAACUCGUACUGCUUUCUUCCCAUUGUCACUCCGUAUUGUUUGUUUUCAAUUCUUUGAGACAGCUUUGUGCACUUUUUCCUGCUACCAGUGCUUUGUGACCUGACAGAGUUUUUCAGGUUCAUCAUUGUUCAGUGAAUCUAGAAAUAGUUUAUAGCUCUUUCAGAUCUGAUGUUUCUAAUUCAUGCUGUACCCAAACUUAGUAAAUUAGCAUCAUUGUUUUAAAUUAGUCAGCUGAUUUUUUGGUCUGUGGUUUUAAUUACUGAUUAAAAUUCUUUGGCUUUGUCAGAAAAUCUUGGGGCUUGCUGGUGGCCAAGCAGGAGGCUGAGAGUACAUUGAAAUGAGUGAAUUUUGUAUGAAACUGUCAGCAUUUAUUGCUUAAAAAAGAAUAUUAGAAAAUGUUGUUAGGUAAAAAUAUAUUGCUUAUCAGUCAUUCUCAAACUCAUCAGGCAAAUAUGAGACUUAGGAAUUAUUAUCACCCACAUCAUUUCAAAGUGUAUUUAAGUAAGAGAUAAAAGAUACAAUGGUUGUGGGAAAAGCCUAAUUCUCAAUAGCUAGAGUCCCAGGUUUGAAUAUAGAUUGUUCUUAUUUACUACUAUUAGAUUCAUGACCAGAGUAAAGUUUUUCAAUUUGGUUUUCAUUAGGAAAAAUGUUCUUACAUGCUUGUUUUAAUAGUUAAAAGAAUGCAAACGUAAGAAACUAGUAAAGUACACAAAGGAGAGGUACCUGAUGUUUGAAUCCAAGUCUUAAUUGGUUUGUUGUGUAAAACAACAAAAUUAUGUUUUAAUAAGAGUUGUCUAGUCCCCCCAACCUGUCCCCGGAACUGGAGAUUGAAUCCAGAGGCGCUUUACCACUGUGCCACAUCCCCAGCCCUUUUUAUUUUUAUUUUUUAGUUUGAGACAGAGUCUCACUAAAUUGCUUAUUAGGGCCUUGAUAAAUUGCUGAGGCUGGCCUCAAAUUUGUGAUCCUCCUGCCUUAGCCUCCUAAGUCUCUGGGAUUACAGCAUGUGUCACUAUGCCUGGCAAGAGUUGUACAGUUUUAUAAAAGAAAGCAAGUCAGACUUUACAUUUUUUAUAAACUUGCAGAGAAAAUGUGGCAAGAACUUUUAAUGCCUAAAUAAUCUACAUAAAAGCAUAGCUUGUUUUCUCUUAUUUUUUAAGCAUGUUAUGAAAUGUUUUUUAUGAAGGAAUGUUUUAUUAAAUUGCUAGAUUUUCUCAUCAAAUCUAGAUCUUUUGUGAAAAUGUAUAGUUAAAUUGGAUAUGGAAUAUGUGGUUCAGUAUUUGGAAUGUCAUCUUCACUUGUUUUUAUGAAAAGUAUAUUGUUUUAGUUUUAAUGCUAUUUCAGAUUAGAAUAACAAAUUAUAUUUGUUAUUGACACAUAUUUAAUUACUUAAAAAAUUCAUAAUGUAUAUGGCAGAUGGUAAAGGUGAAAUUUGGAUCUCUCAUUCAAAAAUAACCAAGAGUAUAUGAGAGCAAAAUUUUCCCAGUAUUGAGUUCACAUGAGCAUGGAGUAAGUAUCUUGGUAGGAAUCCAAGAAAAGCACAGCUGUGGUUUUAUUUUUUUGUAGUACAAAUGAGUGUGGGGAUUUAAAAUAAAUAAAAUUUUUCUUUCUGAAUAUAUUUCAUUAUCUGUUCCAUAUCAAGUUAAUUAUACAGCAAAGUUGAGUUUUUGAAUAUGUUUUGAGCAUAUGUCCCCUUCAGAGAUAUUUCUCCUGAUCACCCAUCCUAAAGAGCCCGCCCUGAAACUGUUCCAUAAAGCUUUUCUCUGUUUUUUUUCCCCAUCUCACUGUCAGUGAGUUGUCUUUUUUAUUUAUAUAGGUAUUUGUUUUUGCUUCUAUGAGAUUAAGAACUUUUUGUCUUUAUUCCUACUUUUCCCCUCAUAUCUUCAAUGCAUAGUAUGUGUGAAGGAAUUAAAAAAAAAGACUAAUUCAUUUUAUAAUCUAUAAAAUUGGAAUCUUCUAUAAUUGGGUGAUAAUGUUUAUGUCCAUUUCCUAGAACUUACAAAAUAUUUGUAGUUAAAAACAAUUUUUGCGUGUGUGUGUGCACACGCGUGUGUGUUUGUGAAUUCUAUUCAUAUACAUGAAGUUCUUAGAAUAAUGUCUGAUACAUAGUAAGUGGUCAAUAAAUGCUUCCUGUUAUAAAUAGAAGACUACAGUAGAACGAUACAGUUCUUAGCUGGAAUGCAACCUUAUUUAUUUUAUUUUAUUUUUUAAUUUUCAGUAGUGUCAAAAUGUUACCAACUGAGAGUUCUAUUUCAGAUAGAAAUCACAAUAGGUGAACUACAGCUCCCUUAAGUGUUAACAACUCUAGGCUUGAAUGCUCACAGCUCUUAGUUUUCCAGGAGCCAGAGCUAGCACCACUCCAUUGCUCUUUGUUGCUCUCUGUUAUUCUCUGGAUGCUAGCCACCCUUGGUGUUACUAGCCCAGGCCACUUUCAGUCCAAGCAUAGUGUUACCUGCUCUUAGUAGAAUCAGUUUAGACAUCUGUAUUUUGCAUAAAAAUCUUGAAUAGGCAAAAUAUAACCAUUCCAAAGAGGCUUCAUUAGGACUUAUGUUGCAGCAUGAGGGGAAACAGUACUUGAAUUGUUCUAGGGAGUUUAUGGGAAGCCUACUUACGUAGACUCACUCAGACCCAAUAUAUGCACAGUGUUUUGGCUGCUAACUACAGACUUUCUACUUAGUCAUAGAUUGGGGAGGGGCUUCCUGCAGAAAGAUAGACUCAUCCACAGAGGCUGUGUUGGUGGAAUCUUGUGGGAUGGACCUGCUACUGAGCUGAUGCUGCCACAGCAGAAAUCUUUCAGCAGCCACAGGGUUUGGGGGCCAUACGUGGCUGUCAAAGAUGAGAGAAAAAAGAAAAGAAAAUGUAUGCUCAGGAGUAUUGGGCCCUUCUAUUCUGUCCCAUAAUGACAGGUUUUUAGGAAUAUUUUUUAUUAGGGACUUAGGGGAAAAAAUGUGAAAUAGGAAUCUUGAAUUUAUACAUUUGUUUCAAAAUUUUCUCUUAUCCUUUUAGGUUCUUGAUGUGAUGUAAAAAGACUUGUUACAAAUUAUAGAAACCUAUGUGCCCUUCCACACUGUGGCUAAGUGAGUUCAUUUAAAAUGGUUUAUAAACUUUACUGCUGGUUCAGAUGACAAUUUCAAAAGGUGAAGCUUAUCACCUCAUUUGCUGUUGUGGUUUGGAUAUGAAGUAUUCUCCAGUAAACUCAUGGGAUAGAUAAUGCAGGAAUAUUCAGAGGUGAGAUUAUGAGAGCUAUAACUUAAAUCAAUGGAUUAAUGAAUUUUAUGGAUUAAGAGUUCAAAAGGACUACUAUACUGGACGGUAACUGUAGGCAGGUAGGGCAUAGUUGGAGAAAUUAGGUCACUGGAGGUGUGCCCUCUUCCUACCCCCUCUGCUUCCUGACUACCAUAAGGUGAGCAGCUUUCUUUUUCUGCCAUGAUGCUUUCCUUACCUUGGUCCCAGAGUGAUGAAGUUGUUCAACUAUGGACUAAACUUCUGAAACCACGAGCUUUAAAUAAACUUUUUCUCUUAGUUAUUUUUCUUUUAUUCUUUGGUACUAGGGAUUGUACCCCUGGAUACUUUACCACUGAGCUAUAUCUCUAACCCUUCUUAUAUUUUAUUUUGACCCCUCUUAUUUUUUAUUUUAAGCUGCUGAGGUUAGCUUCCAACUGCUUCAGUCUUUCGAGUCACUUGGAUUAUAGGUGUGUGCCACCACAACCAUCUCUCUAAAUUGUUCUUAUCAGGUAUUUUGGUUAUGGCAACCAAAAGCUGACUAACACAUUUGCCUUUUUAAAAAAAAAAAUUAAUUAGAAAAAUCACAUCAUUCAGAAAACAGCUGUACAGUAGUAGGCCAAGCCUGUAGAGAUCAUUAUCAUUCUUUUAUACCUCAUAGUAACAGAAGAAUAAUUGUCACAUGGAUGCAGAAGUAGAUAAUGUUUUAUUUAAAAUAAGAAAUGCACAGGUUAAAAGAAGGCAUUUUCCUUUCUUUGUGGACUGGUAGUCCUAGUGUGAGACCAGCUAUUUUUUUGCAGUACAGGAGUUGUGGUGUAAAAGGAGAUUUAUUCUCUGUAAAGCUAUCUGGUGAUGAAUCAGCUGAUUUUCAGAGCAUUUGGGUCCACUGUCCUUAACAUAUGUUUUUGAUCAAGUAACUACAUAUACUGAUUAUAUAAUAGGUUCCCCCCCCCCACAAACCUAAUAAUCCGAAUAGUUUUUUUUUUUUUUUUUUUGCCAUGAGUUGUGCCAUACACUGUUUUGUAGUUCUGUUGUAAUGUUACUAUAUAUCAAGCUCACUCAACCCUAGUAUUAAAGUAAUUAAAACCACUCAGAUCCCUCUUACCAUCAUUACUGUUUAAAUUACACAUGAGUAAAAUUAACGUUUUAAACAUAAGCAAAAAGGAGUAAAACAUACAUAGUGUCAAGAAGCAGACCUUAGUAAAGCUAUGAGCUCUGCUUAUCUAAGGUUUUUGUUUUGGUUGUAUAAUUUUUGUUUUUGUUUAGAAUUUAAAGCUUAAAUAUUAAAAUUUUAGUCUAUUAUAUCCUAAAAUGAACUCUAUCCUAGCAGGAGAGUCAAUUUUUAAAACUAGUAUAAUUCUAGGAACAUAGAAAUAGAACUAUGAUGCUGGGUUAGUGUUCCUGUCUAUCUGUCUGGCUUCCAAAUGUUUGAACUGUAAACUUUUAUCAGAGAGCUGCUGAAAAGGGAUAUGUAACAAGGGAUAAAGCGUAAGAAAGAGAUUGGCUGAAGAAGGUCAUGACUAGGAUUUAAUUGCUACAUUUAAUUGCUAACAAAAUUUAGAUGAUUAAUUUCUCACUUUCUGCCCCUGAAGAUUUCUGGUUUAUUCUUACUCACCUCAAGACUUGUAGCAGCUCCAGAACUACUCAUUGUUUCAUUAAGAAUAGAAGAUCAAAGCACUUAUUAUAGGUGAAAACAUUGGGCUAGACUUGAGAAAUGUCUCUGUAUUUCAGCUCUGUAUUAACUUGUAAUAAUAUCAUCUCCAGUGUCCCCAUUUGAUCUGGAAAAAUGAUAACCUCUUGUUUGUUCUAGUACCAUUUUUGGCUUAUCAUUGUCAUAGCAUCUUUGAGGAACAAAUUCUGCAGACUGAGUUCCUUGAGGCAAGAAAGUCUUUUGUUUGACCUUCUGGGCCUGAUAUGCUCAGGGUACUUGGAUUUGGUAGACUUCUCCAUAUGUUUGUAAAAAGAAGAAGGAUAAGGCGGAGGAAGAUAGUUUUCCUGACUUCAAAGAGAUUAACAACUAGAAGCAUAAACAUGUAGUUAAUGAUAAAAAUUAUUGUUUAAAUUGUAACAUAAUAAAUAAUUGAACAAGUAUUAAUGGAACUAUUCAAUCCCAGAGCUACCAAGGCACUUUUACUGUUUUCCAAUCCCAAAGAGAAAACUUAGAAGAUUUAACAGAGAGGUUUUAGACAUUUUAUUACUCAUGCACUCCUCAGUGGUGGCUAGCCCGGAUUCAGUGGAGGCCUGCACCCCACUUAUUGGGCAGAAUUUAUAUAAGGUAGGUUGCAUACCUAUUGUGCAGGUGGAUUUCUUCAGAUGUUUUAUGAGUACAUUUUUUACUUUACAACUAAGUUCACUCUCCUUUGAUGCUUACCUAAAGAUUGGAGACAAGGGAAGUGGCCACUUUCCCCUCUCCAUUUCCUUUGUUAUCAUACUUAAAGUCCUUAUCUCUCUGCCUGGAAUAAUGAGCUUUCCUAGGCACUGAGUAGUGUUUACCCCAACAAGUACCACAGAAAACAAGAAUAACUAGUUAGCUUUGCCUUGGGAAAAUGGGAACAGACUUACAGAAAUGCAAAUCUGCUAUUUUUGUAUUUUGUCAUACUCUGAGAUUCAUUUCUAAACAUUGAAAUUUUUAAUAAGCACAGAAGGUAGACUGGUAUCAUUUUGUACUAUAAUCUAGUCUACUUUUGUUUGUUUGGUAUUGGGAAUGGACCCAGGGGACUCUUUACCACUGAGCUAUCUCCCCCAUCCUUUUUAUUUUUUAUUUUGAGAUAGGGUCUCACUAAAUUGCCCAGGCUAGCCUUAAAAGUGCAGUCCUCCUGCCUGAACCUCUUAAGUUGCUGGGCUACAGUUUACCACUGUGUCCAGCUUCUACUCUGCUUUUGAGAUCAAGUUGCUACAGUAUUGGAAAAAACAAUGAGAAUUGCUCGUGUGGGACAUGCAAGAAUUGUAAGUUUUGCUUUAGUUAUAUUGUUAAUCACUUUAAAUGAAGCAAAGAAAAUUGUAUUUACUUCUAAAUAAUUAAUAGGACUUACUUUAUAUAUAACUCUUAAGUGAGGUUUCCUAGAAUAUUUUCUAUUUGUAAUUAAAGCCCUUACCUGUUUUUUUAUACACAGAACAUGAACAAAUAUUUAGAGUUUUCUUAUUCACAAAUUAUGUAUUAAACUAUUAGGACCCUGAAUCUACUUAGAGUUAAAAAAUCUAGGGUUGGGGUUGUGACUCAGUGGUAGCGUGCUUACCUAGCGUAUGUGAGGCUCUGGGCUCAAUCCUCAGCUUGUGUCCAUUAAAAAAAAAAAAAAUCUAGGGGCUUGGGUUGUGGCUCAGUGGUAGAGUGCUUGCCUAGCCUGUGUGAGGCCUUGGGUUUGAUCCUCAGCACCACAUAUGAAUAAACAAAAGUUAAAAAUCCAUUGGCAGGAGCUGGGGUUGUAGCUCAGCAAUAGAGUGCUCGUCUAGCACAUGUGAGUCUCUGGGUUUGAUCCUCAGCACCACAUAAAAAUAAAUAAAUAAAAUAAAGGUAUUGUGUCCAACUGCAACUAAAAAGUAAAUACUUAAAAAUAAUCUAAAUCAUACACAGAUUAAUUAGUGAGUAAUGAAUGAAUAUAUGCCAUGUGGUCCAAUCCCUGAUACUAAAGUUUUUUUUUUUUGUCUCUUAAAUUCCUCAUUAGAUAAAAUUCUUCUAUUAUAUUAGAUACUAAAUAAGAAUACCCAGCAUUUAUCAGAUUUCUUUUUUGCUUUUUGUUUUUGCGGUACUAGAGACCAAACCCAAGGCCUUACACAUGCCAGGCAAACAGGCAAAUCCUCUAUCACUGAACCACAUCCCCAGACUCUCCAAUUGCUUUUAUUGAAUUAGAGAACUUCAGUCUUCUUAUUUAAUUUGGUAGGGUGAUAUUUCUUUUAAACAAUAGCAUCUUACUUCUAGAAUUCUACUAUCUGCCAAUUAAACAUCCCAAAAUUGCAUAACUGAAGCCUUCAGAGUAACAAAAUUUGUGUUUUAAAACCUGUAAUGAGAACAUAAGUAUAGGUUGAGUAUUCUUGUCAAAAAUGCUGAUGACCAGAAGUGUUUCAGGUUUCUGAGUUUCUUGAAUUUUUGAAAUAUUUGUAUAGGCUUCACUGGUUGAGCCUUUGGAAUCUGGAAAUGUGCUCCAAAAUCCAAAACUUGGUGAUUAUCAUGUCAGAUUUCAGAUUUUAGAUUAGUGAUGCUCAAACUGUAGAUUAUUCACCAGAGCUGUUUUUCAGAUUUUAUUUGUUCAAUUUAAACCUAGUUCCAGAAUGUUUACAUUAUUUUUUAAGCGAUGGCAGGAGGGAAUAUGAUUGUAAAGAUGAAAAACAGCUAUUGGUAAGAAAGUAGAAAACCAAAAAGCCAUAAAGAAUAUGACCACAGGAACCUAGCAUUAGGAAAGAUGCAUUCAUAUUCUAUGUUAAGUUCUGAGGAAGUAACUAUUUUACAACAUAGUUUAUGAAUUGUUGGUAAUCGUAAACAUGAGCCACUAAUAAAUUUAAAUAGAAUAUUUAAUAUUUUUAGUUGUAGAAAAUAGGUAAAUGUGAAGUGUGGUUUAAAUUAUUUCAUUGAAAAUAGUAAAACUAAAAACUGGUAUUGAUACUAUAUGUAGCUUUUUAGGCUUUGUGAGCCAUAUGGUCUCUGUCACAGCUAUUGUGAAAGACAUGGGUUUGUUCCAGUAAAACUUUAUUUACAAAAAUAGAAAGCCAUAUUAAGGCAAUCUGUUCUUUAAGAGAAAAAAACUCCCAGUUCUCUGGGAAACUUGAGUGGUCAAAAUGUUGUUGUUGUUUUUUGUCCCUAAGGUGGACAGAAACAGUGUCACAUAAUGAUGGUUCGAUUAACAGUAGUUCACAUACACAGUGGUGGACCCAUGAGAUUAUGUUGCUUCCUGUGAUAAAGUAGCUGUCUUAGUUCAUAUAAAUACAUUCUAUUGUGCUCAUCUAAUGAUUCAUUUCUUAGAACAUGUCCCUGUUAAGUGAUUCAUGACUAUAGAGAUUCUCCUCAAAUUACAAUGGGGCUAUAUUUUAAUAAACUCAUUAUAAAUUGAAAACACCAUAAGCAUUUCAAAGUGCAUUAAAUUUACCUAGCUUACCAAACCUCAUAGCUUAGAAAUAGUAUACUGUAUAUUGGUUGUUUAUUCUCAUGAUCAUGGGGCUGACUUGGAGCUUUCUGCCAUUGUCCAGCAUCAUAAGAAUGUUGUCACAUUACACAUUGUUAGCUGGAAAAAAAGAUGAACAUUUGAAGUAUGGUUUAUAUGAAUAUAUCACUUUUGCAUCAUUAUAAGGUAGAAAAAUUGUAAGUCAAACUAUCUCAAGUAGAAAUUAUACAAAACUAAGUGAAAUAAGAUUUUUUAUUGUGUCUCCAGUUUAAAAACAGAGAUAGGGCCAAGUGGGGAUUAAACCCAGGGUCUCACACAUACUAGGCCAAGUGCUUUACCAUUGAAGUCCAUCCCCAGCCCUCUCAAAAUUUCUUGUAAUGUUCUUAUCCUUCUUGCAAUGAUGUGAGAUGAUAUAAUACCUUUCAUUUUUAAACAUCUCAAGUAGAAAUUAUACAAAACUAAGUGAAAUAAGAUUUUUUAUUGUGUCUCCAGUUUAAAAACAGAGAUAGGGCCAAGUGACUUUUUAAAAAAAAUCACAUUAAAAAUUAUCAUAAAAUACAGAAUUCUCCCCUUAUUCACAGGGGAUAUCUUCCAAAACUGCCACUGGAUAGCUAAAACCAUAAAUAGUACCAAACCCUAUAUGUAUUUUGUAUUGUCACACCUGGGAUAAAGUUUAAGCUACAUAUUAUAAAAUAUUAACAAUAACUAAUAUAAAAUAGAACAAUUGUACAGUUAUAACAAUAUGCUAUUAUAAAAUUCAUGAGACCGUAGUCUCUCUCAAACUUAUUUUUUAUUUUUAUUUUUUGCAGCAGUGGGGAUUAAACCCAGGGUCUCACACAUACUAGGCCAAGUGCUUUACCAUUGAGGUACAUCCCCAGCCUUCUCAAAAUUUCUUGUAAUGUUCUUAUCCUUCUUGCAAUGCUGUGAGAUGAUAUAAUACCUUUUAUUUUUAAACAUCAUCUUAUUUUUUAUUCAUUUAAAUACCAAGACUGUUUGAAUUAAUCAUCUUGAGUUUAACAAAGUUAAUAAUUAAGCAGAAAAAUGUUAUGUUUUAAGUUCAUGACAUGGAACAUUUAGAAUUGAAUUUUUUAUUUGUUCUAAUUAGUUAUACAUGACAGUAGAAUGCAUUUUGACAUAUCAUAAAUAAAUGGAGUAUAACUUCUCAAUCUGCUGGUUGUAAUGUUAUAUAAUCACAAUGAUCGUGUAAUCAUAUAUGUACAUAGGGUAAUAAUGUUUGAUUGAUUCUACAAUUCUUUCUACCCCCAUAUCACUUCCCCUUCCUUCACUCUCCUCUGCCUAAUCCAAACUACCUCUGUUUUUCCCUAGCAUGCCCCCCUACAACACUUAUUGUGAAUUAGCAUCCAUGUAUUAGAGAAAACAUUCUGCCUUUGGUUUUGUGGGAUUGGCUUAUUUUGUUUACCAUGAUAUUCUCCAACUCCAUCCAUUUACCUGCAAAUGCCAUAAUUUCAUUCUUCUUUAAGGCUGAAUAAUAUUCCAUUGUGUAUAUAUACCACAUUUUCUUUAUCCAUUCAUCUGUUGAAGGGCAUCUAGGUUGGUUCCGUAGUUUGAUUGUUAUGAAUUGAGCUGUUAUGAUUUUAAGUCGUUUGGGUAUAAACCAGGGAGUGGGAGCAGGGUCAAAUGGUGGUUCAUUUCCCAGUUUUCUGAGGAAUCUCCACACUGCUUUCCAGAGUGGUUGUACCAGUUUCAGUCCCACUCAUAUAUUGCUGGUUGUACUGCAAAUUGGUGCAACCACUAUGGAAAGCAGUAUGGAGAUUCCUCAGAAAAUCUUCUCUUUUAAAGAGCCAGAAAAUCAAAUAUAUAGACUUUGUGGACCUUAUAGUCUCUGUCCCAGUUGCUCAACUUUUCCAUCAUAGAGUUGAAAGCAGCCAUAGACAAUAUGUAAAGAGAUCUGGGGUGGCUGUCUGAGGUAUGUGUGGUAAAGAUUUUCUCCCAUUCUAUAGGUCUCUCUGCACAUUUUUGUUUCCUUUGCUGAGAAGAAGCUUUUUAGUUUGAAGCCAUCCCAUUUAUUGAUUCUGGAUUUUACUUCUUGCACUUUAGGAGUCUUGUUAUGGAAGUCAGUUCCUAAGCCAACAUGGUAAAGAUUUGGGCUUAUUUUUUCUUCUGUUAGGUACAGGAUCUUUGUUAUAUUGUGCAAGUCUUUGAUCCACUUUGAGUUUUGUGCAGGGUAAGAGAUAAGGUUUUAAUUUCAUUUUGUUACAUGUGGAUUUUCAGUUUUCCCAGCACCAUUUGUUGAAGAGGCUAUCUUUUCUCCAACAAAUGUUUUUGGAGCUUUUGUCUAGUAUGAGAUAACUGUAUUUAUGUGGUUUGUCUCUGAGUCUUCUAUGCAGUACCAUUGGUCUAUGCAUCUGUUUUGGUGCCAAUAUGAUGCUAUUUUUGUUCCUGGGGCUCUGUAAUAUAAUUUAAGGCCUGGAAUUGUGAUGCCUUCUGUUUUCCUUUUCUUGCUAAUGAUUGCUCUAAUUAUUCUGGAUCUCUUAUUUUUCCAAAUGAAUUUCAUGAUUGCCUUUUCUAUUUCUGUGAAGAUUGUCAUUGGGAAUUUAAUAGGAAUUGCAUUAAAAUCUGUGAACACUUUUGGUAGUAUAGCCAUUUUGACAACAUUAAUUCUGCUUAUACAAGAGCCUGGGAGAUCUUUCCUUCUUCUAAGGUCGUCUUCAAUUUCUUUCUUUAGUGUUCUGUAGUUUUCAUUGUACAGGUCUUUUACCUCUUUUUUUUUUAGAUUGAUUUCCAAGGUGUUUUUUUGUUUGUUUGGUUUUGAGGCUGUUGUGAAUGAGGUAGUUUUCCUACUUUCUCUUUCAGUGGAUUCAUCACUGAUGUAUAGGAAUGCGUUUGAUUUAUGGGUAUUGAUUUUAUAUCCUGCUAAUUUGCUGAAUUCAUUUAUUCUAGAAGUUUUCUGGUAGAAUUUUUUUUUGAUCUUUUAAAUAUAGAAUCAUGUUGUUGGCAAAUAUUGAUAGUUUGAGUUCUUUUCUUACUUGUAUCCCUUUAAUUUCUUGCUGCACUAAGCAGCUCAGUGAGAUCCUAUCCCUAAAUAAAAAACAAAAUAGGGAUUGGGAUGUGACUCAGUGGUUGAAUGCUCUGAGUUCAAUCUGUGGUACAAAAGGAAAAAAAAAAAAAAGAAGAAGGAGAAGGAGAUAGAUUGAUAAAGGGCAUCCUUGUCUUGUUCCAAUUUCUGGAGGAAAUACUUUCAAUUUUUGUCCAUUGAGAUGAUGUUGGCCUUGCGUUUAGCAUAGAUAGCUUUUACAAUGUUGAGGUAUGUUCCUGUUACCCCUGUUUUUCUAGUGUUUUGAACAUAAGGUGGUGCUGUAUUUUGUCAAAUGCUUUUUCUGCAUCUAUUGAGAUGAUCAUAUGAUUCUUGUCUGUAAGUCUAUUGAUGUCAUGAACUACGUUUAUUGAUUUCCAUAUGUUGAACCAACCUUGCAUUCCUGGGAUGAACCCCAUUGAUUGUGGUACACUAUCUUUUAAUAUGUUCUUGUAUGUGAUUUGCCAGAAUUUUAUUGAGAAUUUUUACACCUAUGUUCAUUGGGGUUAUUGGUCUGAAGUUUUUUUUCCUUGAUGUGUUUUUGUCUGGUUUGGAUAUCAGGGUGAUACUAGCCUCUUAGAAUGAGUUUGGAAGGGUUUCCUCCUUUUAUAUUUCAUGGUAAAAUUUGAAGAGUAUUGGUUUUGAUUCUUCUUUGAAUGUCUUCUAGAACUCAGCUAAGAAUCUGCCUGGUCCUGGGCUUUUUUUGUUGGUAGGCUUUUGAUGGAGUCUUCUGUUUCAUUGUUUGAAAUUAAUCUGAUUCAAUUGUGUAUGUCUUCCUGAUUUAUUUUGGGUAGGUAUAUCUGUAGAAAUUUGUUGAUGUCUUCAAGAUUUUCAAAAAGAUAUUUUAUUGAAGAAACUUUCAAAAUAGUUUCUGAUUAUCUUCUAUUUUUCAGUAGUGUCCACCAUGAUAUUUCCUUUUUCAUCACAAAUUUUACUAAUUUGAGUUUUCUUUCUCUUUCUCUUCAUUAGCAUGGCUAAGGGUUUAUCAAAUUUUAUUUAUUUUUUCAAAGAACCAACUUUUUGUUUUGUCAAUUUUUUGAAUUGUUCCUUUUGUUUCAAUUUCAUUGACUUCAACUCUGAUUUUAAUUAUUUUCUCUCUUCUGCUUUUGGUAUUGAUUUGUUCUUUUUUUUUUUUUUUUAGGGCUUUGAGAUGUAAUGUUAGGUCAUUUAUUCAUUGACUUUCUGUUCUUUUAAUGAGUGAGCUUAGCACUGUCUUCAUAGUAUCCCAGAGAUUUCAGUAUGUUAUAUUGAUGUUCUCAUUUACCUCUAAGUAUUUUUUUUAAUUCCAUCCCUGAUUUCUUCUGCUAUCUGUUUGUCAUUUAAUAGUGUAUUAUUGAGUCUGCAGGUGUUGGAGUAGUUUCUAUUUUUUAUUUUAUCAUUGAUUCCAAUUUCAUUCCAUUAUGAUCUGAUAGAAUGCAGGGUGGUAUCCCUGUUUUUUUUUUUUGUUUUUUGUUUUGUUUUGUAUUUGCUAAGACUUUGUGGCAUAAAAUGUUCUAUUUUAGAAACGGAUCUGCUGCUGAGAAGAAAGAGUAUUCACAGGGUUGGACCCAGGGCUGAUGCAGGUCCCCCCUUCUUUCCUGCCUCAGUGGAUCAUGCCAAGGGUGGCAGCACAGGUGGUUUAGGGGGAGGAUAAGUGACUGGGCGGUGCUGGCACAGGAGAUGAUGUCAUUUCCAGUUACAAUGCAGGGAUCACAACAAACAUAGCCUCCACAGAAGCACUAUGGCAUUACUUCUCCUAUUAGCUGAGCAGCCCCCAAGGAGACUGACUGCAUUCUAAUUGACUUAGAUUCUAAUUGAGACUCUGAAGCCCUUUGUGUUUUUUUGAAGCAGAAGAGGAGCUAUAGCACAGGAUUUUAAAUUUGGGAAAAUUAAAUAACUUGGUGAAAGAGUGGAUCUGAGAAAUCAGUGAAAGGAAGAAUAUUCCACAUUCUGUAAUUGAAAAUGUUGGAGGAAAAUUUUUUACAUUUGGAUCUUACAGAUUAGGAGUACAUUCAAAAGGUGCUGAUAUUGAUGCAUUGUGUUUUACACCAAGACAUGAUGUUCGAAGUGAUUUUUUUCACCUCGUUCUAUGGUAUAUUAAAAUUACAAGAAGUUAAAGAUUAAGAGCUGUUGAAGAGGCAUUUGUAUCAGUUAUAAAACUCUGUUUUGAUGGGAUAUAGAUUGAUAUUUUGUUUGGAAGAUUAGCAGACUAUUCUAGAAGAAUUGGACCUACGAGAUGACAGUGUGCUUAAAAAUUUAGAUAUAAGAUGCGUAAGAACUCUUAAUGAUUGCAGGGUAACCAAUGAAAUUUUAAACCUAGUACCAAACAUUGAGAUCUUCCCGUUCAGUCUGAGAGGUGUUGAACUGUGGGCCAAAUGCCACAACAUCUAUUCCAAUAUACUAGGUUUGCUCAAUGGUGUUUCCUGGGCUACACUAGUAGCAAAAAUUUGCCAGCUUUAUCCAAAUGCAACAGCAUCAACUCUUGUACAUAAAUUUUUCUUGGUAUUAUCUAAAUGGUAUGUGUUUAGAUUAUAUUAAAAUAAAAUUGAUUGUAGACAUUGAAAAAAUACAGUGUAUUUUGCUCGUUGAUGGAUGAAAUAUCAAUACAUAUUCUGUUGAGUCCAAAUUAUUGAUUGUAUUAUUUAGUUCUAUAGUUUCUUUGUUUAAUUUUUGUUUGGAAGAUCUAUCCAGUAGUGAGAGAGGUAUGUUCAAGUCACCCAGUAUUAUUGUAUUGUGGUCUAUUUGUUUCUUAAAAUUGAGAAGGGUUGUUUGUAUGUAGAUGAUCCAUUGUUUGGGGCAUAAAUAUUUCCAAUUGUUAUGUCUUGUUGAUGUAUAAUUCCGUCAAAUAGUGUGAAAUGUCCUUUUUGGUCCCUUCUGAUUACCUUUGGCUUGAAGUCCACUUUAUCUGACAUAACGAUGGAAACUCCUGCUUAUUUAUAUACUCCACAUGAGUGAUACAUUUUUUCUUAUCCUUUUACCUUCAGUCUGUGAAUGCCCUUGCCUGUGAGGUGAGUCUCUUGUUGACAGCAUAUUGUUGGGUCUUGUUUUUUAAUUCGCUCUGCCAGUCUAUGUCUUUUGAUUGAUGAGUUUAACCCAUUAACAUUCGGGAUUGUUAUUGAGAUAUGAUUUGUAUUCUCAUUCAUUUUGGUUUAUUUCUGUUUUUUAAUUUGACUUAGUUUCUCCUUUGAUUGUCUUUCUUUAGUGUAGUUCCUCCCUUUUCUGGUUUUACUUUUUUGUUUUUCAUUUCCUCCUCAUGGAAUAUUUUGCUGAGAAUGCUCUGUAGUGCAGGCUUUCUAGUUGUAAAUUCUUUUUUUUUUUUUUAAAGAGAGGAGAGGAGAGAGGGAGAGAGAGAAUUCAGUUUUCGGUGGAUACAGCAUCUUUUUUAUUUUUAUGUGGUGCUGAGGAUCGAACCCAGCGCCCUGCUGGGUUUUUAUUUCAUCUUCAAAUCUGAAGCUUAAUUUUGCUGGAUAUAAAAUUCUUGGUUGUCAUUCAUUUUCUUUCAGAGAGUGGUAUAUGUUGUUCCAAGAUCUCCUAGCUUUGAGGAUCUGGGCAGAGAAAUCAACUGAGAUUCUAAUUGGUUCCCCCUAUAUGUAAUCUGAUAUUUUUCCCUUGUGGCCUUUGAUAUUCUAUCCUUAUUCACUAUGCUAGGGAUUUUCAUUAUAAUGUGUCUUGGUAUGGGUCUCUUGUAAUUUUGUACAUUUGGGGUCCUGUAAGCCUCUUGUAUUUGAUUUUUCGUUUUAUUCUUCAGGUUUGGGAAAUUUUCUGAUACAAUUUCAUUGGAAAGAUUGUGCAUUUCUUUGGUUUGUAUCUCCCCGCCUUCCUCUAUCCAAUAAACCUUAAAUUUGGUCUUUUCAUGUUAUCCCAUAAUUCUGGCAAGUUCUGUUCAUGGUUUCUUACCAUCUAUCUUUUCUGUGUGGUCAAUUUUAUUUUCAAGAUUACAUAUUGUGUCUUCAUUGCCUGAGGAUAUGUCAUUCCAACUGGUCUAGUCUGUUGGUGGUACAUUUUAUUGAAUUGUUAAUUUGAUUUAUUGUUUUCUUCAUUUCAAGGAUAUCUGUUUGAUUUCUUUUCAUAAACUCUACCUCUUUAUUGAAGUGAUCUUUCAACUCCUGAAAUUUAUCUCUGAUUUCACUCCUUACAUCAUCCUUAUGUCAUGAAUCAGUUUAACUAGGUACAUUCUGAACUCCUUAUCUGACAUUUCUUCUACUAUGUUGUCAAUGGACUCUAUCAUUGGAGCAUCUUGGUUUGUUUGGGUCACUUCGUUCCCUUGUUUUUUUCAUGUUGUUUGUGUGUCUUCUCAUCUAGCAAUGUACCACAUUGCUGAGGUACCACAGUUUCUACCCUUCAGACUUAGUGUCCCUAGAGGUUUCUAGUAUCUCUCUUUUAAGGGGGAGAUCACAUUAACAGCACUCAGUGCAAACAAUAUACAGCCUUAACCAAAUAUCUCCUAUUAAGACAUCAGGCACUUCUCUCCCAGGUAGUCCUGAGGGCUGAGCACUGGGACCUGUGCAGUGGUUGCAAAGAGCUGCUCUGCAUUGGUAGUAUCAGGACCAGGUGCUGGGGGGUGGUGAGGUAAGGAGGGAUUAAGAGACUGGGGACUGGGGUGCCAGAGGGCCCUGUUAGAUGCCAGACUGAUUCCGGACCUGGCAGGACUAGGGGAUCUGUAGAUGCUGGACUGGGAUGCAGCUGGUGACUGGGAUGGUGCCAAGGCCCAGCAAGUGUCAGUUCUAUUGGGCCCCAGGAACCCUGUGGGCGCGAGAUGACUGGGUCAGUUAACCAAGAGCAAGAUGCCCUCAGAUCUAAUUCCUGCCUUCUAACCCUGCUAUAGCCAGCCCCAUUCAUCCCUGUGAGUCUGCAAAGCUAGAGAGCUGGCUUUCUCCCGCCUCUGUAGCAAGAUGUUGGCUACUGGAACACCCAGCAGGAAAGUCUCUGGUGUGAUAAAACUUGCAGUCAGUCACCUUGAUAAUGUAGCUCUAGGACCUGGUUGGUGUCCCCAGAUGAGGUGGCUGUGUCCUAAGAUGCCAGAGGUGAUGGCAAACCUUCAGGCAACUGAGCACUGGGCCUCCAGGCCCCUGCUGGUGUACCAAGAUAGAGUCUACUGUGUCUUGAGAUGAUUAUGGUAGCAGUGGCAAUGUCCCUAAGAUGGAGGUGGGUCACAUUCUAAGAUGGGGCAGCAGUGGCAGAAGGUGCUGUGGCCUAGAAUUGAAUUUUUAUUUUAUUUUAAUAUCUAUGUUUUUAAAUUUUUUUUUUAGUUGUAGAUCGACACAAUACCUUUAUUUGUUUUUAUGUGAUCCUGAGGAUUGAACCCAGUGCUUCACACGUGACAGUCAAGUGCUCUACUGCUGAGCCAUAACCCCAGCCUGACCUUUUUUUUUAUUUCUUCCCCACUUUUUAUUGGUGUAUUAUAAUUGUGCAUAUGGUGGGAUUUGUUGUGUACAUGCACACAAAAUAAUAUUGGUCAGUGUCACUCCUUAGCAUUUUCCUUUCCCUCUCCACCUCUCAUACCUUUAUCACCUUAGUCCUUUCCUCUUUGAUUUCCAUGAGAACCACCCCCACAUUUAUUUUUCCUCUCUACCUUCCUAUGUGAAAGAAAACAUAUGACCCUUGAGUUUCUGAGUUUAACUUAUUUCAUUAAUGUAAUGGUCUCUAGUUCUAUCCAUUUUCCUUCAAAGACAUAAUCAUUUUUCUUUAAGUGUGAAAACUCCCUUGAUAUAUAUGCCAAAUUUUCUUUAUAUAUCAUCCGUUGAUGAACACCUACGCUGGUUUCACAGUUUGUCUCUUGCGAAUUACGCUGCUGUAAACAUGGGUAUGCAUAUAUCACUAUAGUGGGAUGACUUAAAUUCUUUAGAAUAAAUACCACAGAGUAGUAUAGCUGAUUUCCAUAGUGAUUGCACAAAUUUAUAAUGCCACCAACAGUGUAAAAGUUAUCCCUUUUUUCCCCUUGUACUCUCCAGGAUAUAUUAUUAUUUGUAUUCUUGAUCACGGCCAUUCUGAAUAGUGUAAGAUGAAAUCUAAGUGUAGUUUUGAUUUGCAUUUCCCUAGCUGCUCAUGAUGUUAAACAUUUUUCCGUAUAUUUGUUGGCCAUUUGUAUUCUUUGAGAAGUGUCUGUUUAAUUCACUUGCCCUUUUAUUAAUUGGAUUAUUUGAUUUUUGGUUGUUAAGGUUUUUUUGAUUUUUGGUGUUAGGUUUUUUGAGUUCUUUUUAUAUUCUCCCUAUUAAUCCUCUGUCAGAAGAAUAGCUAGCAAAGAUUUUCUCCUACUUAUUCUUGUGUAUUUCCUGAGCUUUAUGGGUCCUAGUGAGAAAAUUGUUGCCUGUGUCUAUGUGUUGGAGUACUGACCUAUGUUUUUUUCUAGGAGUUGUAUAGUUUCUAGUCUAAUUCCUAGGUCUUUGUUUCAUUUUGAGUUGAUUUUUGUACAUAGUGAGAUAUAAGGGUCUGGUUUCAUUCUUCUACAUAUGGAUUUUCAAUAUUCCCAGCACCAUUUGUUGAAAAGGCUGUUUUUUCUCUAGUGUAUGUUUUUGGCACCUUGAUACCUUACAUUUUUGAUGAUGUAGAACAAGGUGUGUGAUGUAUACAUGGGGCAAGUAAGGCAUUGGGUAAGAUGGAGAGGAGGAUACAAGAUUUCAUCAUAUUACAAAGAACUGUUUGCAAUUAAAACUUAUAAACUACUGACAUUUUCUGCACUCAAACUGUGUGUAAAUAAUACUGUGGAAAGUGUAACCUUAGAAAGAGGGAACUACUGGAUAUGUUACCAUGAAAUUUAUCAAAACUAUACAAUUCAGUGAUUUUAACAUUCACAAUGUGAAACCAACAUUGAUACUUGUAGAAAUUUUCAUGUUCCCAAACAGAAACUCUACUCUUUGAAUAGUAAAUGUCCAUCCCCCUCCUAGUAUAUUUGCUUGUAACCUUUAUUCUACUUGCUAUCUUAGUGAAUUUGCCUAUUUUUGAUGCUGCAGAAUCAUGUACUAUUUGUCUUUUUGUGCUUGGCUUUUUUCACUUACCAUAAUGUUUUCAUUGUUCAUCAUGUUGUAGCCUAUAUCAGAGUUUCAUUUCUUUUUAUGAUCAAAUAAUAGCCAUUAUGUAUAUAUGCCAUGUUUUGUUUAUAGUUUAUCUUUUGAAGGAUGCUUGGGUUGUUUGUACCUUUGCCUAUUAUGAAUGAUGUUGUUAUAAACAUUGGCGUAACAACAUUUGUUUGCAUCUGUGCUUUUAGUAUAGACCUAGGAGUGAAAUUGUAGGAUCACAUAUAAAUUCUGUUUUUUGAGAAACCACAGUGACUGCACUAUUUUACAUCUUCACCAUUAAUCAACAAGGAUUCUUUUUCUAUAUUCUUACCAACACUUGUCAUAUUUCUCUUUUCCCCCCUGUACUGGGGAUUAAAUGUAGAGCCUUAUGCUUAUGUGAAUGAAGCUGCUAUAAAUAUUGAUUGGAGCAAUACUAUAGUGUGCUGAUUUUAAGCCCUUUGGAUAUAUUCUGAGGAGUGGGAUAACUGGUUCAAAUAGUGAUUCCAUUCCAAGUUUUCUGAAGAAUCUCCAUUCUGCUUUCCAUAAUGGUUGCACUAAUUUGGAGUCCCACCAAAAAUGUAUGUAUGAGUGUACCUUUUUCCCCAUAUCCUCACCAACAUUUAUUGUUACUUGAUAAUUGCCAUUCUGAGAUGAAAUCGCCGUGUAGUUUUUUUUUAAUAUUUAUUUUUUAGUUGUAGUUGGAUACAAUUCCUUUGUUCUAUUUAUUUAUUUUCAUGUGGUGCUUUUUUGAGUUAUUUAUAUAUCCUGGAGAUUAAUGCUCUACAUGAAGUGCAGAGGGCAAAGAUAUUCUCCCGUUCUGUACAUUCUCUCUUCAUGUUCUUGAUUGUUUCCUUUACUAUGAAGACGUUUUUUAGUUUGAUACUAUAUCAUUUGUUGAUUCUUGAGUUUACUUCUUGUGCUUUAGGUGUCUUGCUAAGCUGAAUGAUGAAGAGUUGGGUAAUUUGGGGGUUUUGGUGUUAAAGUUUUUUGAGUUCUUUGUACAUUCUGGGUAUUAAUGCCCUAUCUAAGGAGCAGGUGGCAAAUAUCUUCUCCUAUUCUGUACAUUCUUUCUUCACAAUCAUGUUUCCUUUGCUGUGCAUAAGCUUUUAAAUUUGAUGGUAUCCCACUUAUUGAUUUUUGGUUUUAUUUCCUGUACUUUUAGGAGUCUUAAGGAGGUUGGUUCCUGUGCCAAGACAUUGGAGUGUUGGGCCUACAUUUUCUUCUAGCAGAUGUAGAAUUUCUGAUUUAAUUCCUAGGGUUUUGAUCUGCUUUGAGUUGACUUUUGUGCUGGGUGAGAGAUAGGAAUCAAGUUUCAUUCUAUGUAUUACCAGUUUUCUCAGCACCAUUUGUUGAAAAGGCUAGCAUAGCUUACUUUUAAUUCAAGUGUCGUACAAAAUCCAUUUUAUGGAAAAAAUAUUUAUAAGUAUUGUUCUUUUUAUUCCUAAGUAAAAGCUUGAGUAGAUCCUAUCACUAUUCUCAUUUAUAGAUGAGGAAGCUCAAGAAAAUAAGAUGAUAUAACUUGUCCAAGUUCAUGUAAAAUAGAAAGUAGUAGAGCCAAGAUUCAGACUUAUCUGCCAAUCUAACUCCAAGGUUUAUAUCCUUAACUGUUAAAGCCACAUCCUCCAGAACAGUUGUUCUUAAAGCUCAAUCCACAAGCUUCUGGGAAUUCCUCAAACCCUUUUAAGGGUCUUUGGAGUCAAAACAUUUUUCAUAAUGAUAUCAAAGCAUUAUUUGCCUUUUUUGUUGUACUGAGAUUAACAAAAAGAAUGGCGAUAAAGUUUGAUGGUUCCUUGGCAUACAUAUAUCAAGGUAAUGACACUAGAGUAUACUAGUAGUUGUUGUAGUCAUCAUUGCUGUAUAUUUGUAAUUCUUUUUUUUUUUUUUAAGGCUAUUUACACUUAAGAAUGUCCUUGUCAAAACAGAAAAAAAUGUUAAUUUUAAUUUUAUUAACUCUUGAUCCUUGAGUCACAUCUUUUUAAUAUUCUGAACGACUAAAUAGAAAUACACAUAAAGACUUACAUUGUACACUUAAGUAUCGUAGUAUUAUUGUAUGAGCUGAACUAGGUACUUGGUUUCAUAGUACACUUUUACUUUACACACUGACUGACAAAUUAUAGUUUUGUAGACUUGGGUAUUUGUCAGACAAAGUGGGUCUCAAGGAAAUGAAGUGAUAAAGAUCCCUUUUUUUUUGCAAUAAUAAAAUUGAAGCUAUCAAGAGAAAAUUAGAAUUUAAGAAUUCUGCUACUAUGAGCUUAACAGCUGUCUAAUAUUUAAAGAAUUUUCGGUUGAGAUGGGUGAUGAUAUUAAUGAUUGUGUUAUAAAAUAGUAUAAUAAAACAUGCCAACAUUUGUAAAACCUGCAUUCUUCUGGAAACAAGGAAUUUUCCAAAGGACCAAUGUAUGGGGUUGCAAAAUCCCAUCAAAGUAAAAGGUAGAUUUUUAUGUAACAGCAUAAAAGGUUCCUUGAUGCAAAUUCAUAUUCCAUAUUGCAAAUAACUUUCAAGAAAACCACCACUUGUAAAGUUCCAAUGCAGUAUUUUAAAAAACAAUCUAUAAUUAUUUGAAAAGACUUAAAAUACAUCUCUCCAUUCCAAUUGUUUAUCGCUGUGAAGCCAGGUUUUCUUUAUGUAUGUCUGGAUAAACAAUAGAUUGCAGUGCUAUGAAGGCAAAGCAUAUAUGGGAAUCUUUUAUUAAGCCAGACAUUAAAGAGAUUUGCAAAGUGGAAAAUAUUACUAUCCUUCUCACUGUAAUUACUUUUGCUUUGGUAUAUAGUUUAUGUUUUCAUAGAAAUAUUAGCAUUUUUAAAUGAAAUUGGUCCAUUAUUAUAACUUUAAAGUGAACUAAAUAUCAGUUAAUUUAUUUUCUAAUAUGGUAAAUAUAUAUGUAAGUUUAAUAUAGAGAUAAUACACAUAUUUACAUGUGUUUUUUUAAAGGCUAUUUUCCUUAAGAAUGUCCUUAUCAAAACAGAAAAAAAUGUUAAUUUUAUUAAUUCUUGACUCUUGAGUCACAUCUUUUUAAUAUUCUAAUGACUAAAUAGAAAUACACAUAGACUUACACUGUAUACUUAAGUAUGGUAGUUGUCUCCAGGAAGAGGAUAUGUGUUAUACUCAAUACUCUUAGGGGUCCAUCUUUUUUUUUUUUUUUUUUUAGUAUAAAAGGAUUCCAAGAACAAAAAGGAAAUAUAUUAAGAAAGUAAAAUAUGUGUGAGGAAAGAGCAACUAAAAUUGCAUAUUUUUGAAAUUGAAUUCAGUGUCCUACACUUGAUAGUCAAAGAAGCAAUUUCUUUGGCAUCCAUAAUUACUUCUUAGUCAGAUAUAAGGUGCAUUCAUUUUGUGAAACCAUUCAUAGAUAAGACAUUUAUUUGUACAGUAUUGCUGAUUUCUGAUGUUAACAUUGUACUAAUGUUAGUAUUUAUAUGAGGAUUAUAGACCUUUAUAAGCUAUUCUAAAGCCUUUUAGGAGAGUUAUGAUUUGGAUGAGGUCCCCCAAAAGCUUAUGUCUGAGACAAUAAAAAGAAGAUUUAGAGGUGAAAUGAUUGGGUUAUGAGAGCCUUACACCAAGCAGUGGUAACUGAAGGCAGGUGAAGAGUGGCUAGAGGAGGUAGUUCACUGGGGGCAUGACUUCGGGGUAUUUAUAUUUUGUAUCUGACAAAUGAAGUUUCUCUCUUUGCUUCCUGGAACCAUAUCCCCUACUACUUUCCUCUGCCACUCUUCUACCAUGAGGUUCUGCCUUGCUAUGGGGCCCUGAGGAGUAGAGUCCUCUGAAUUAGUCCUCCAAUGAGACCUCUGAAGCUAUGAGCACCAAAAUAAGCUUUUCCUCCUUAAAAUUGUUCUUAUCAGGUCUUUUGGUUGACUAAAACAAGGAGUGUAAGUGUUUACUUAGUUGACCACCUACUUAAUGACCCUCUUUUAUCUCCUCCCCACACCCCUCAACCCCUGCCCUCUUUAAAAGACAAUGGUCUGACUGUGUUUGCCAGGCUGGUUUUGAACUCUUGAGCUUAAGCAAUCUUCUUGUCUUAGUCUCCUGACCAUCUGAGACUAUAGAUGCGUCCCUCCAGGCCUGGCUUAAUCUCUUUGUUUUUAAUUCAGUUCUUAGUGGAGUUUGUGGACUUACUUCACUGGUGAAAAUUUGUUAUAUAAUAUUGUUUAUGAAUGCAGUUCUAUUCUUAUGCUUAUGUACAGGUUUUGGUGAAUAGAUACUAAAACUAAAAAUGUCAAAAUAUAUGUUUUUCUUGUCUCUGCAGGAUGACGUAGCUUUGCCAAAGACUUAGAAGCUAAGCAGAAAAUGAGCUUAACAUCCUGGUUUUUGGUGAGCAGUGGAGGCACUCGCCACAGGCUGCCACGAGAAAUGAUUUUUGUUGGAAGAGAUGACUGUGAGCUCAUGUUGCAG
rnacentral:lncRNA from 1 species